rnacentral:lncRNA from 1 species
GCCCCUAUUCCUAUUCAUAAAGGCCACACUUUGUAAAAUUGUGGAAUUGCAUUUAAAAUAUAUAUAAAAAAAUUAGUUCUUGUGUUUAAACAAAAAUGUUUAUUGAAGUGUUAGAAAACUGGGAUUAUUUGUAUCAUUAUUACAUUUCUUGUUGUUGGGACUAUUUGUAUCAUUAUUACAUUUCUUGUUGUUGGGACUAUAGAACUCAAGAUUCAACACUAUUAGGAGUAUCGUUAUGUUAGAUGUCUAAACAUGUUUUCACAUAAAAACAUGAGCAAUGAAGAGAAUCUACUCGUAUAUACUCAUUUUGGCGGAGAUCUGUUGUGAUUCAUUAACUUGUUGAGAAGAGAAAGAAAAUACUUGAGAAUCAUGAAAUAUACUUAUAAGAACUCUCGAGUUUUCUUUUUCUUUUUCCUUUAAAACUUAACUCAAUUGAGUUUUAGAAGGGAAGGAAAGGAAAAAGAAGGCUCGAGAGUCAUGAAAUAAACUAGUGAGGCUCCAAAACCUUACGUUUUCCUUAUUCCCCUCUAAAACUCAACUCGCAGAACACAGCCUAAAGAUGUGUUUAUGAGUUAAAUUUUAGAGAGCAAGGAAUGAAAAAAUAGCCAUGAAAUACACUUAAAAACAGACUGAAAAUAAUCAAUAUAGUAGCAAAGAAGGCAAAAAUGAGGGAGAAGUGAAAACACACAUUCAAUUAAAGGAUAUAACAAAUUAACGAUAGAGAGAAAGAGAGAAGAAUUUGAGCUGCAAAGUAAGAGAACGGUUGUUUUAUUUAUUCUGCAUGGAGGUAUAUAUAUUACCAGACCAUAGUGGAAGACAAGUUAAAAGCAUAAACAUAAACAUAAGUACCAUAAUCAAUGUUCAUACAUAAGAUGGAUGGUCGAAAAUGUUAUCUAUCAUGAGUUCUUGGUGGAGGAUGAACCAGCCUUGAUGAUCUUUAUUAUAAAGUCGUUCUUGAUCUGUGAUCUUGAAACAGGAAGGUUGCUGAAUGAACCAGUAGGAUGUGAAGUCCUUUGGCCUUGAGCUUCGGCACCACCCUUUCCACUCAUACUUGCUCCUCCACUAUAAGCUGAAACAACUGAACUAGUUCUCCCAAUUACACUGCAACAACU